CCUACGGGAGGCAGCAGUGGGGAAUAUUGGACAAUGGGCGAAAGCCUGAUCCAGCCAUGCCGCGUGUGUGAAGAAGGUCUUCGGAUUGUAAAGCACUUUAAGUUGGGAGGAAGGGCCGUUACCUAAUACGUGAUGGUUUUGACGUUACCGACAGAAUAGGCACCGGCUAACUCUGUGCCAGCAGCCGCGGUAAU
rnacentral:rRNA from 1 species